rnacentral:ncRNA from 1 species
CGUAUGGUGCUUUGCAGCAAUAAAUAGCUGACUAAGUGGCGAUGCGGCCUUAAACAGAGGU